AUUGAACGCUGGCGGCAGGCCUAACACAUGCAAGUCGAGCGGAUGAAGGGAGCUUGCUCCUGGAUUCAGCGGCGGACGGGUGAGUAAUGCCUAGGAAUCUGCCUGGUAGUGGGGGAUAACGUCCGGAAACGGGCGCUAAUACCGCAUACGUCCUGAGGGAGAAAGUGGGGGAUCUUCGGACCUCACGCUAUCAGAUGAGCCUAGGUCGGAUUAGCUAGUUGGUGGGGUAAAGGCCUACCAAGGCGACGAUCCGUAACUGGUCUGAGAGGAUGAUCAGUCACACUGGAACUUAGACACGGUCCAGACUCCUACGGGAGGCAGCAGUGGGGAAUAUUGGACAAUUGGCGAAAGCCUGAUCCAGCCAUGCCGCGUGUGUGAAGAAGGUCUUCGGAUUGUAAAGCACUUUAAGUUGGGAGGAAGGGCAGUAAGUUAAUACCUUGCUGUUUUGACGUUACCAACAGAAUAAGCACCGGCUAACUUCGUG
rnacentral:rRNA from 1 species